ACAGCAACACUAAGGGACUAAGAUAAGGAUGAGCACCAUGAGCUCCAUGACCAACCUGAGAGACGGACCAGCAUGACCAAGACCUAUGGAGCCUGCCGAUGUCCCCCAGGAGAGCACUCCAUCCACCCUGAACUGUGCUGCUCUCUUUGUGGUCUUCUCGGAUGCAGCAGAACUGAGGACUGGGAAGUUCCCAUGACAAACGCUCAUGUGAGGUGAAGCCUGCAGCGAGGCCGUGGUGAGGAGUCCCCCAAAGGCAGGGGUCUCUCUCGGAACAGAGUGCCCUGGCAUGUCCCCGGGACAGAGAUAGCACAGACUCCGCAGUCCGGAGGUGGACUCCAGGCAGAGCCAGCAUGUUCGAGGGGAAGUGAAUCAUAGGAAUCAGGUAACUGCCUGAAAAACAGCCGCGGUCUGCCGCUGCUGGACUUCAAUGUCCCCCCGGCUGGAGUCUGCCUGUGCACAUCUCCAACCAGUUCCCAGGUGGUGCUGUGUAUGGAGAGGGGCCGUCUGUGCCUCUGGAGCCUCCGGAGCAUGUCUCCUGACCCCUGGAAAACAGCUACCCUGGUGCAGCAUCUGCAGGCGCUGGGUCCAGCACAGGUUUCUCAGUUCCAGGCCACACAGAGUACAUCAGAGCAUCUUGCGUGAAGCAGACAAAUCCGCAUCUGCAACAGGCUCCAAACACGACCCACAUCCCGGCCCCAGGCAUGGGGCUAGGGCCCAACUGAGCUGGGCAAGAUCAGUUAUUCGUUGUCUUCAGAAUUCAUGUUUGUAAAAUGCGGGACCCAUGUCUUGGAGGGGUGACAGGAGCAGUGUUUAGAGCAUAGCACAGGGCCCGUGCCCAUCAGGCGUUAUUGCUGUGAGCUGCCUUUAUUCGUGCUCAAGUUAUCGAAUGUGAACAAGUUUAGUGUCAAAAACAAGAAGUCCAACACCGUGAUGCAGGAUUCAUCGAAUGUGGGCGUCCCUGCCACCUCUCCACUGGCCCCUGUGACAGUCGAUGCCUGAUGUCACCUGUCAGUUCAAUGUGUAAAAGCACAAAAGUAGAUUCCUGAAUUGUGUCAAUGCCACAGAACGGAAGGGGAUGGUGCUGCAGGUUAUUCCUGUGUUUCUAGGAAGGCAACAACUGGAUAGAAUCGGGCAGAAUGGAUUUUGUCUAGUGUUUGAUGGAAAUAAUAACCCCACAUGGCUUGUCAUACACACAAAAUGCAGAGAAAUAUGCAGCGUUCUGGAGUGUCCUGCACGCUGUCACAUGGGACCCCCAUCCACUCUUCCUAUCAAAAGGCUGAUGGAUCAUGGUCUCUGCAGAUGCAGGAACUGAGCUCAGAGAGAGGCCGUGUCUUCUCCAAGACCCCCAGCCAAUGAGAGGGACCCAGGCCUGAGCACAGGUUUCUGAAUCAGAGUCCUGCCUCUCACCUUCUCAAACGUCCUUGCUUCCCUUCCCACCAAGUUUUAAUUGAGUGCACCAGGAUUGCGGUCUUCCAAAGGCAUUUAUGUGAUUGCCUUUUCCUCUUCGAUUUCUCACCAGUUAGCUUAUAAAUGACAAAGUCUGCCCCGUGGAGAGAGCGUUCUUUAGAUUUUAAUAGAAAGACAUCAACAUCGCCAUGAAAAGAUGAAGACAAUGAAAAUAAUUAUUUAGUAGGAUAAUAAACGGAAUCUGGGCAGAGUCGUGCUGAGCAGCUAUGACUUGCAUCAGCGCAUCAUGGACUGGCAGCAACUCACUGCGCAGAAUGUCCGGGCCACAGGCUUGGGCUCCCCCGACACCCCGUUUCCCAUGGGCAUUUUCCCUACUGGGGACUAACAUCAGAUGGGUUCACACUCGUGAAAGACGCUCGGCACCAAGAAACAGGUGCCUGCAGGGCUGGUGCGACACAGGGACUCUGUGGUGUAGUAUGUGUGGCUGGUCGGUGUAUUAGCGAGGAUGGGGACACGGGUGUCCAGUAAGGAGUGCUUGAACGAAGGUCCUUGAUUCACAAAACAGGAACAGUGCUGACCGCCCGCCCUCCUUUAUCCCAGGAAGAACUCCAACUGACAUAGUUACAAACAGCAUGGAAUCCAAACCUUACCCUCAUCACACCGUAAAUAACAUCUUUGUACAGCACU
rnacentral:lncRNA from 1 species